GGGGCUGUGGCUCAGUGGUAGAGUGUUCGCCUGGCAUGCAUGGGGCACUGAGUUCGAUUCUCAGCACCA
rfam:Ictidomys tridecemlineatus contig053122, whole genome shotgun sequence.